AAGAUGGUCGUUGAAUCUGCAAAACUUGUGCUGUUCAACGUAAAGCUUGUUGAUAUAAGCAAUUGGAAUAAUCGAUGUUAGAUCAACCGACGCCAUUGCAUGAAAACCCGUUAACGACGAUUGUGUGUCGAAAGCGGAUUCUGCGGAAAUCUUCGAAAUUUAUACGUUGUACAAACGACUAGAUUUACAGACUAGAUUUAUUACCCAUGGACUGAGAUCGUAUGCUCUACUGCGUAAAUCGAGGAAGGACGAUUGUGCAUCGAAAUUGCAAACGAAGUAAAAAAUGUGCGUAAUACUGUCAUUCAUCGUGGAAAACAGUGAGUGAAUAAAUUAUGAUAAAUUGUUCUGAUUCUAGAUCAAAAUAAUUAUGCACAGUAUUUAUUUUCGACAGUCUCUCUCUCUCUCUCUCUCUCUCUCUCUCUCUCUCUCUCUCUCUCUCUCUCUCUCUCUC